rnacentral:rRNA from 1 species
AGUCUGGUGCCAGCAGCCGCGGUAAUUCCAGCUCCAGUAGCGUAUACUAAAGUUGCUGCGGUUAAAAAGCUCGUAGUUGAAAGACAGGGGUGCGGUGGAAAGUGACUCUGCGAAGAAGCGGGGGAAGCGGAAGCAGCACCUCUUUAGCCGGGGAAGCAUGUCUGCACUUGACUGGGCGGGCGUUAGCCGAAACGGCGAUAUACCUUGAGGAAAAUAGAGUGUUCAAAGCAGGCGACAAGGGGGCGGCGGUGGCUUAACGGCUGCCGCUUAGCGCCCGACAUACGCCGUGAAUAAGUUAGCAUGGAAUAAGCGAAGAGGACUUUGGACCCGUACCGGGUUAGUAGCAAUUGGUAGAUGGGGCCGGAGUAAUGAUUAAUAGGGACAGAUGGGGGCAUUAGUAUUUCGUAGUCAGAGGUGAAAUUCAAGGAUUUACGAAAGACUAACUAGUGCGAAAGCAUUUGCCAAGGAUGUUUUCAUUAAUCAAGAACGAAAGUUUGGGGAUCGAAGACGAUCAGAUACCGUCGUAGUCCAAACCAUAAACUAUGCCGACUCGGGAUUGGGGUGAGCACGAGAGAAGGCCACGCCAGGACCGUAAGAGAAAUCACAAGUUAUUGGGUUCCGGGGGGAGUAUGGUCGCAAGGCUGAAACUUAAAGGAAUUGACGGAAGGGCACCACCAGGAGUGGAGCUUGCGGCUUAAUUCAACUCAACACGGGAAAACUUACCAGGGCCAGACACGGGAAGGAUUGACAGAUUGAUAGCUCUUUCUUGAUUCCGUGAGUGGUGGUGCAUGGCCGUUCUUAGUUGGUGGAGUGAUUUGUCUGCUUAAUUGCGAUAACGAACGAGACCUUAGCCUUUAAAUAGUCAUCGGCACCGUCUGCAGGCAAAAUGAUGCCAGGGUAGACGUUGUACACGGGUCGCAAGGCCCGACGGAGGUGACUUCUUAGAGGGACAACCGGUGGAUAGCCGGAGGAAGCAUAAGGCAAUAACAGGUCUGUGAUGCCCUUAGAUGUUCUGGGCCGCACGCGCGCUACAAUGAUGAAGUCAACGAGUGAAGGAAACCGAGCCCGAUCGCAAGGUUGGGGGAGGACGAAGUGUAUCCUUGGCUGAAAAGUCUGGGUAAUCUCGAGAAACUUCAUCGUGCUGGGGAUUGACCUUUGCAAUUAUGGGUCAUGAACGAGGAAUUCCUAGUAAGCGUAAGUCAUCAUCUUACGUUGAUUACGUCCCUGCCCUUUGUACACACCGCCCGUCGCUCCUACCGAUCGAAUUGUUCGGCGAAAUCUCCG